CCCUAAUCGUGCCUGGAAGUUUUAUUGGUGAAUUUUGGCCGUCAGCUGGCCGCCAAUAAAUUCGAAUAAAGUGGCGGUUUUACCCACUUACGGAGGGUUUUUUGCCCUCAAUAAAUUGUGUUUUUCUUGUAGUGUUUUUUGUUAGAAAUGUACCAUUUUCUAUUCUUUUUAUUGGUUUAUCUUUAUAAUUUUUCACGUUAAUAGUUUUUAAUAAUAAACUUUUUUAUUUCCCAUAAAAUGUCAUUAAUUUCUAAAAAAGUCAAUUAUAAUUUUUGUUGUUUUUUUUUAUAUUUUCAAUAAACUUUUGAUAAACACAGAGGCUUAAAUGACACACUGCUCCAUGCACCAUUAUAAUCUUAUUUACAGUAAAAUGGCAACAACUUCUAAAAAACUCAAUUAUAAUCUUUGUUGUUUC
rnacentral:lncRNA from 1 species